UCUAGCCUUGGUCGGCUUGGAAAGGGACCGGAGUGAGAAUUGCGGGGAGGCUUAUGAACUGCUCCGCCUCAAAGAGUGAUGAGAGGUGGAAAUAAAUAAGCUGAAAACACGAAGGUCUUCAGGGCAUUGAGACUGAACCUUAAAAUCAAGGAGCCAUCGCCUGGAAAAAGGGAAUGUUUCCGGCGAAGGCCUUGUGUCAAGAUCAAGGAAUGGAUGAAAGGAGUCCCCAAAUAACAUUUAUUAACUCCUUAGUGAAUUAAAGAUCUCAUUUUGCUCAGUGGCCGGGUAUUCCUACUGCUGGCCCUGCUUACGAUCGUCAUUUCCGUGACCACCUCCUGGUUUAGCUCACUUAAACCUCCCCAAGUUCAUCCGAAAGAAGGAGAAGAAGAGAAUGCGAAAAGACAAAAACUCGCGAGGGAGAGGCAACAAGAAGCCCAGGGUGAGAAGGCCAGCAGAUAUAUACAGAAUGUUUUAAAGCCUCAGCAGGAAAUGAAGUUGAAAAAACUGGAAGAGCGGUUUUACCAGAUGACGGGGGAGACCUGGAAGCUGAGCACCGGCCACAGACUGGAGGAGGAUGAAGAUUCGGAGUUUGAAAAUUCAAGUCAAGCGUCUUUUGAAACAGUUAACGGAGAGGCAGCAAGAAGACAGAACUUGCCUAAGUUUUUGACUGAAAUUUCACCACCCGCUCAGCCGCCCUCAAGGAAGGAG
rnacentral:lncRNA from 1 species